AUUGAACGCUGGCGGCAGGCCUAACACAUGCAAGUCGAGCGGAUGAAGGGAGCUUGCUCCUGGAUUCAGCGGCGGACGGGUGAGUAAUGCCUAGGAAUCUGCCUGGUAGUGGGGGAUAACGUCCGGAAAGGGGCGCUAAUACCGCAUACGUCCUGAGGGAGAAAGUGGGGGAUCUUCGGACCUCACGCUAUCAGAUGAGCCUAGGUCGGAUUAGCUAGUUGGUGGGGUAAAGGCCUACCAAGGCGACGAUCCGUAACUGGUCUGAGAGGAUGAUCAGUCACACUGGAACUGAGACACGGUCCAGACUCCUACGGGAGGCAGCAGUGGGGAAUAUUGGACAAUGGGCGAAAGCCUGAUCCAGCCAUGCCGCGUGUGUGAAGAAGGUCUUCGGAUUGUAAAGCACUUUAAGUUGGGAGGAAGGGCAGUAAGUUAAUACCUUGCUGUUUUGACGUUACCAACAGAAUAAGCACCGGCUAACUUCGUG
rnacentral:rRNA from 1 species